AUUGAACGCUGGCGGCAUGCCUUACACAUGCAAGUCGAACGGCAGCACGGGAGCAAUCCUGGUGGCGAGUGGCGAACGGGUGAGUAAUAUAUCGGAACGUGCCCGGUCGUGGGGAUAACGUAGCGAAAGCUACGCUAAUACCGCAUACGAUUUACGGAUGAAAGCGGGGGAGUCGCAAGACCUCGCGCGAUUGGAGCGGCCGAUAUCAGAUUAGGUAGUUGGUGAGGUAAAGGCUCACCAAGCCGACGAUCUGUAGCUGGUCUGAGAGGACGACCAGCCACACUGGGACUGAGACACGGCCCAGACUCCUACGGGAGGCAGCAGUGGGGAAUUUUGGACAAUGGGCGCAAGCCUGAUCCAGCAAUGCCGCGUGCAGGAUGAAGGCCUUC
rnacentral:rRNA from 1 species